rnacentral:rRNA from 1 species
UACGGAGGGUGCAAGCGUUAUCCGGAUUCACUGGGUUUAAAGGGUGCGUAGGCGGGUAGGGAAGUCAGUGGUGAAAUCUUCGAGCUUAACUCGGAAACUGCCUUUGAUACUAUCUAUCUUGAAUAUUGUGGAGGUAAGCGGAAUAUGUCAUGUAGCGGUGAAAUGCUUAGAUAUGACAUAGAACACCUAUUGCGAAGGCAGCUUACUACGCAUAUAUUGACGCUGAGGCACGAAAGCGUGGGGAUCAAACAGG